rnacentral:rRNA from 1 species
UACGUAGGGUGCGAGCGUUAAUCGGAAUUACUGGGCGUAAAGCGUGCGUAGGCGGUUUUGUAAGUCAGAUGUGAAAUCCCCGGGCUUAACCUGGGAAUGGCAUUUGGGACUGCAAGGCUUGAGUCCGGCAGAGGAGACUGGAAUUCCUGGUGUAGCAGUGAAAUGCGUAGAUAUCAGGAGGAACACCGAUGGCGAAGGCAGGUCUCUGGGCUGACACUGACGCUCAUGCACGAAAGCGUGGGGAGCAAACAGG